UCCAACCACUAAAAACAUGCUGCUGAUGGGAAAACCAACUUGAAAUAUGAAAAGCUGCAAACUAGCGACACAAAACGGAAGUCCUCCAGACCACUAGGGGGAGUCUGGAGUAGGUAAUAUUCUCUAUGAAAACAGCCUAAUGUUCAGUAAAUGUGACUUACAUUUCACCUUCUCUUGUUUGGAUUUAAUUUCUUUUUCAGAUAAUAUUUGUUACUGUAAAUCUAUUGAGGAUAGAAACGGAUGUUUAGUGAUGAACAUAAGGAUGUAGAAAAGGCGAAGAGCUGCAGUCACACUAAUGGAUAAAUAUAUUUAGGACUAUUUUGAAUUUCGUUGAUUACAGUUGGAGUGUUGAUUAAAUUAUUGUUAUUGUGUGUCUGUGUGUUUCAGUUGGAAUAAUCCAAACUAAUAACACUGUAAAACACUAAAUGUUUGAAACAGAUGAAUAUAACCAACCUUCUUUUCUUAUGUUCCUCCAUCUUGCUUCGGGAUAAAAUGGCGUCCCAUUUUUACCAAGACUCUGGUCCCAGGCCAAUGUUUUCACACCACUGAUUUGUUGGUCGACUCCCCCUGGUGGCUUGGAGGACUGCCGUUUUGAGGCAGCGAUUCCUGCCGUCUACCUGGAAGUAGCCGGAGUUUGUUUCUUCUUCUGGGUGGAAAACGUCGGCCUUCGGCGGCGGGACUCUCAGGAAUGUGAUGUCUAAACUCCGGCUUUUCUUCUCCCUCUGGAAUAUCCAGAGUUUAUUCUGCUGAUCCUCGCAGACGCAUCGUUGGCAAUCAGCUCAGAAAUGUCAGAGUUGUUUGGCAGCGCGGCUCCUCACGGCGGCGACAGGCUGACAUUUGGCUCCUCAUCUUCGGCUCCUUAUCUCGUCUUACAGCAGGUCGGCCCACUCUGCGAUUCUGUCGGACUGGAUGAACACGCGUGAAGAAGGAGAAUAUGCAGGAACAGCCUCUGCUGAGAAGGAAAGCAAAACAUGCAACCAUUCAGAAAACUGAUCACCCGUCAGAAAACCUUCAAAUAAAAGCUCUGCUUCAUGAA